UACGUAGGGUGCGAGCGUUAAUCGGAAUUACUGGGCGUAAAGGGUGCGCAGGCGGCUUUGCAAGACAGAUGUGAAAUCGCCGGGCUCAACCUGGGAACUGCAUUUGUGACUGCAAGGCUAGAGUACGGCAGAGGGGGAUGGAAUUCCGCGUGUAGCAGUGAAAUGCGUAGAUAUGCGGAGGAACACCAAUGGCGAAGGCAAUCCCCUGGGCCUGUACUGACGCUCAUGCACGAAAGCGUGGGGAGCAAACAGG
rnacentral:rRNA from 1 species